rnacentral:lncRNA from 1 species
AGUGCCAUCCCUGCAUCAUCACCAACAGUGCAUCACCACCAUCACUGCAUCACCACCAUCAGUGCAGCACCGCAGCAUCACAGCACCGCCAUCAGUGCCAUCCCUGCAUCACCACCAUCAGUGCAGCACCGCCAUCACCACCAUCAGUGCAGCACCGCAGCAUCACAGCUCCGCCAUCAGUGCCACCCCUGCAUCACCGCCAUCAGCAUCGUCACUGCAGCACCGCAGCACCGCCAUCAGUGCAGCACCACCAUCAGUGCAGCACCGCCAUCAGUGCCACCCCUGCAUCACCACCAUCAGUACAGCACCACCAUCAGUGCAGGACCACCAUCAGUGCA